rnacentral:rRNA from 1 species
UACGUAGGGUGCAAGCGUUGUCCGGAAUUAUUGGGCGUAAAGAGCUUGUAGGCGGUUUGUCGCGUCUGCUGUGAAAUUUCGGGGCUCAACCCCGAACUUGCAGUGGGUACGGGCAGACUAGAGUGUGGUAGGGGAGACUGGAAUUCUCGGUGUAGCGGUGAAAUGCGUAGAUAUCGAGAGGAACACCUGCGGCGAAGGCGGGUUGCUGGGCUGACACUGACGCUGAUGCGCGAAAGCCAGGGGAGCGAACGGG